rnacentral:lncRNA from 1 species
AAGUGAUGCCUAGUGUCCAAACAGUAUGUCAAGUUAUUACUUUCCCCAAGUGUAGACAUGUGUCUUAACACUAUGUCAAGCUUUUAGUUGUUCCAAGUGUAGACACAUUUCUAAACAUUAUAUCAAGCUAUAAUUGCCCAAAGAGUAGACACAUGUCUUAACAGUAUGUCGAGCUUUUAAUUGCCCGAGUUGUAGACAAGUGUCUAAACAGUAUGUCAAAGCUAAUAAUUAUCCCCAAGUGUAGAAACGUGUCUAAACAGUGUGUCAAGCUAUUAAUUUUCUUAGUUUUAGACACGUGUCAAAACAGUAUGUCAAAGCUAUUAAUCAUCCCAAAUGUAGACACGUGUCUAAACAGUAUGUCAAUCUAUAAAUGCCCAAAGUGUAGACAGGUGCCUAAACAGUAUGUUGAAGCUAUUAAAUGCCCCAAGUGUAGACACGUGUCUGAACAGUAUGUCAAGUUAUUAAUUGUCCGAGUUGUAGACAUGUGCCUUAACAGCAUGUCAAGCUAUAAUUUUCCCAAGUGU